UGCAACGCGAAAAACCUUACCUACCCUUGACAUGUACGGAACCCUGCUGAAAGGUGGGGGUGCUCGAAAGAGAGCCGUAACACAGGUGCUGCAUGGCUGUCGUCAGCUCGUGUCGUGAGAUGUUGGGUUAAGUCCCGCAACGAGCGCAACCCUUGUCAUUAGUUGCUACGCAAGAGCACUCUAAUGAGACUGCCGGUGACAAACCGGAGGAAGGUGGGGAUGACGUCAAGUCCUCAUGGCCCUUAUGGGUAGGGCUUCACACGUCAUACAAUGGUCGGUACAGAGGGUUGCCAAGCCGCGAGGUGGAGCCAAUCCCAGAAAGCCGAUCGUAGUCCGGAUCGCAGUCUGCAACUCGACUGCGUGAAGUCGGAAU
rnacentral:rRNA from 1 species